GCAGUUGGCCGGUCUGUCGCGUGCGCGUUUCGUGCAGGAGGAAAGUCCGGGCAACACAGAGCAUCCUACUUCCUAACAGAAAGCUGUCCGCGAGGGUAGAGUAACGUAGAAGAAAAUAACCGCCGCUCCUUUCGGGGAGAGGUAAGGGUGAGAAGGUAGGGUAAGAGCCUACCAGUCGUAUGGCGACAUACGGGCUGUACGUCUUAGGAGUUGUAAGGUCAUGUAAACCGGCGUUAUGAGAGCCUGCUCGCUCCAUGUCGGAGGGUAGACCGCUAAAGUGUCGUGGUGACACGCCACUCAGAUAAAUGACAAGGCACCUUAUAUCUAUAAGGUACAGAACUCGGCUUACAGGCUGACUGCUUUU
rnacentral:RNase_P_RNA from 1 species